rnacentral:rRNA from 1 species
CAUAUCAAUAAGCGGAGGGAAAAGAAACUAACAAGGAUUCCCCUAGUAACUGCGAGUGAAGCGGGAAAAGCUCAAAUUUAAAAUCUGGCAGUCUUUGGCUGUCCGAGUUGUAAUCUAGAGAAGCAUUAUCCGCGUUGGACCGUGUACAAGUCUCCUGGAAUGGAGCGUCAUAGAGGGUGAGAAUCCCGUCUUUGACACGGACUGCCAAGGCUUUGUGAUGUGCUCUCAAAGAGUCGAGUUGUUUGGGAAUGCAGCUCAAAAUGGGUGGUAAAUUCCAUCUAAAGCUAAAUAUUGGCGAGAGACCGAUAGCGAACAAGUACCGUGAGGGAAAGAUGAAAAGAACUUUGGAAAGAGAGUUAAACAGUACGUGAAAUUGCUGAAAGGGAAACGCUUGAAGUCAGUCGCGUUGGCCAGGGAUCAACCUUGCUUUUGCUUGGUGUACUUUCUGGUUGACGGGUCAGCAUCAAUUUUGACUAUUGGAAAAAAGUCAAGGGAAUGUGGCAUCUUCGGAUGUGUUAUAGCCCUUGGUUACAUACAAUAGUUGGGAUUGAGGAACUCAGCACGCCGCAAGGCCGGGUUUUUAACCACGUACGUGCUUAGGAUGCUGGCAUAAUGGCUUUAAUCGACCCGUCUUGAAACACGGACCAAGGAGUCUAACAUGCCUGCGAGUGUUUGGGUGGAAAACCCGAGUGCGUAAUGAAAGUGAAAGUUGAGAUCCCUGUCGUGGGGAGCAUCGACGCCCGGACCAGACCUUUUGUGACGGUUCCGCGGUAGAGCAUGUAUGUUGGGACCCGAAAGAUGGUGAACUAUGCCUGAAUAGGGUGAAGCCAGAGGAAACUCUGGUGGAGGCUCGUAGCGAUUCUGACGUGCAAAUCGAUCGUCAAAUUUGGGUAUAGGGGGGCGAAAGACUAAUCGAA